GGGGAUUCCCUAUGCAGAUAAGGAGGAGGAGCCUAUGAAGGUUAAGCAAAAGAGGAAGAGGAAGAAGAAGAUGAACCACUUCUGCAAUAGAUGCUUGAGAAGGCUCAAAAAGCUCAAUGAGGUAGAAUGUGAAGUAGAAAAUAACAAAAAAGAGACUGAAAACCACUAAGUGUAAGAUUCUGCUGUGACAAUCUAUUACCUUAUUGCUGACUGCUAACAAAGUACAUCUGACUGAGUGAUUUCUGUAACAAACCCUCCUCAUGUCUGCAAAGCCAUGUUAUCAGGGUAAAGAAACCAACAGAGUUACAGAGGCUUCAUCAUAUAAUCAGUGGCAGCAGAUAUAUAAGACUUAUAGAAGCUGAAGUAACAUCUAAGGUGAAAAACAACUGAAAAUAAAGUUUACACACAUCCCUGACUCAGACCAAACACCACAUGGGUACACUGGAAUUUCAUUUCCAAGCCUUCUUUCUGAGAACUCAAACUGCCUAGUAAGGAAUAAGGUGACAUGCAGCCGUCAAAUGCUAGCAGAACGGGUGAAUAUAGCAAUGCAGCUCUCCACUGGACAUUGAUCUGCUCUUGAAAUGCCUAUUUGCUCGGUGUCUCAGGGCACUGAAAGUAUUUACACCCUAAGCAAUAACAUGAGUGAUUAGAGCAGCAAAAGGCACUGCUAACACCAAGGCUCUUGGAGUGAUGACAAAGGAUGGCAUUGAUCUCCCUCAGUGCUGGGACCAGUUCUCUGAUGUUCUUCCAUCUUCUCUGCUGUAUCAUAAAUAUCAUUCCAGUGGGGCUUGAACUUCUUGGCAUCCUGCUUCCAAUUCCCUUGGGCAUUAACACAUUGUUGGAUCCCAUCUCAACAGCUCUUGCAUCUUUGGCAGGAUGGUUCUUGUAUAUACCAAGCCAAAACAGCUGUUGAAACAAUUUCUAAGCUGUUACAAAACACCUUCUAUAAAAUCACAUGUUUUAAGGUAGGAAUC